UACCAGAACAUAUUUGGCUUAGAGUUUAUUU
rnacentral:piRNA from 1 species